rnacentral:rRNA from 1 species
GCGACGCUUCUUUCAAGUGUCUGCCUUAUCAACUGUCGAUGGUAGGUUAUGCGCCUACCAUGGUUGUCACGGGUAACGGAGAAUCAGGGUUCGGUUCCGGAGAGGGAGCCUGAGAAACGGCUACCACAUCCAAGGAAGGCAGCAGGCGCGCAAAUUACCCACUCCCGGCACGGGGAGGUAGUGACGAAAAAUAACAAUACGGGACUCUUUUGAGGCCCCGUAAUUGAAAUGAGUACACUCUAAAUCCUUUAACGAGGAUCAAUUGGAGGGCAAGUCUGGUGCCAGCAGCCGCGGUAAUUCCAGCUCCAAUAGCGUAUGCUAAAGUUGCUGCGGUUAAAAAGCUCGUAGUUGGAUCUCAGUUCCAGUCGGGUGGUGCAUCUAACCGAUGCGACAGCCCGGGCUGAACAUCAUGCCUACCUUCCUCUGGUGUCCUUCACUGGAUGCCUCUGGGUGGUAGGUGCAUUUACUUUGAAAAAAUUAGAGUGCUCAACGCAGGCGCAUUGCCUGAAUACUCACGCAUGGAAUAAUGGAAUAAGACCUCGUUUCUGUUCUGUUGGUUUUUGGAAAACGAGAUAAUGAUCGAGAGGGACAGACGGGGGCAUUCGUAUUGCGGCGCUAGAGGUGAAAUUCUUGGACCGUCGCAAGACGAACUACUGCGAAAGCAUUUGCCAAGAAUGUUUUCAUUGAUCAAGAACGAAAGUCAGAGGUUCGAAGGCGAUCAGAUACCGCCCUAGUUCUGACCAUAAACGAUGCCAACCAGCAAUCCGCCUGAGUUACUC